rnacentral:rRNA from 1 species
CACGUAGGGUGCGAGCGUUGUCCGGAAUUAUUGGGCGUAAAGAGCUCGUAGGCGGUGUGUCGCGUCGGCCGUGAAAACCUGCAGCUUAACUGUGGGCUUGCGGUCGAUACGGGCAUCACUGGAGUUCGGCAGGGGAGACUGGAAUUUCUGGUGUAGCGGUGAAAUGCGUAGAUAUCGGAAGGAACAUCAGUGGCGAAAGCGACUUCCUGGACCAAUACUGACGCUCAUGUGCGAAAGCGUGGGGAGCAAACAGG